rnacentral:rRNA from 1 species
AGCCGGCCUGAGAGGGUGAUCGGCCACACUGGGACUGAGACACUGCCCAGACUCCUAUGGGAGGCUGCAGUCGAGGAUCAUUCGCAAUGCGCGAAAGCGUGACGAUGCGACGCUGCGUGGAGGAUGACGGCCUUAGGGUUGUAAACUCCUGUCAUGAGGGAAAAGUAACCUGACGAUUAAUACUUGUUGGGAUCGAUGGUACCUCAAGAGGAAGCCACGGCUAACUCUGUGCCAGCAGCCGCGGUAAUACAGAGGUGGCGAGCGUUGUUCGGAUUUACUGGGCGUAAAGGGUGCGUAGGUGGUCAUGUAUGUCGGGUGUGAAAGCCCACGGCUCAACCGUGGAAUUGCACUCGAAACUGCAUGACUAGAGUACAGGAGGGGAGAGCGGAAUUCUUGGUGUAGCGGUGAAAUGCGUUGAUAUCAAGAAGAACACCGGUGGCGAAGGCGGCUCUCUGGAAUGUUACUGACACUGAUGCACGAAAGCUGGGGGAGCGAACAGGAUUAGAUACCCUGGUAGUCCCAGCCGUAAACGGUGCACACUUGGUGUGGGGGGAUUUGACCCCCUCCGUGCCGGAGCUAACGCGUUAAGUGUGCCGCCUGGGGAGUACGGUCGCAAGGCUAAAACUCAAAGAAAUUGACGGGGGCCCGCACAAGCGGAGGAGCAUGUGGCUUAAUUCGAUGCAACGCGAAGAACCUUACCAGGGCUUGACAUAUACCUGCACGCCCCGUGAAAGCGGGGAAGCCUUCGAGGGUGGUAUACAGGUGCUGCAUGGCUGUCGUCAGUUCGUGCUGUGAGGUGUUGGGUUAAGUCCCGCAACGAACGCAACCCCUGUGGUUAGUUGCCACCGCCGGUGAUGACCCGGCGAGCACUCUAGCCAGACUGCCCGUACAAGCGGGAGGAAGGUGGGGACGACGUCAAGUCAGUAUGGCCCUUACGCCCUGGGCUGCACACGUGCUACAAUGGCCGGUACAGAGGGACGCAAUACCGCGAGGUGGAGCAAAUCCCCAAAGCUGGCCCCAGUUCGGAUUGGAGUCUGAAACUCGACUCCAUGAAGUUGGAUUCGCUAGUAACGGCGUAUCAGCUACGACGCCGUGAAUACGUUCCCGGGCCUUGUACACACCGCCCGUCACAUCAUGAAAGCCGUCUGCACCCGAAGUCACUGAGCCAACUUUUACGAGAGGCAGGUGCCGAAGGUGUGGGUGGUGAUUGGGAUGAAGUCGAAACAAGGUA